rnacentral:rRNA from 1 species
AUUGAACGCUGGCGGCAGGCUUAACACAUGCAAGUCGAGCGGUAACAGAGAGAAGCUUGCUUCUCUGCUGACGAGCGGCGGACGGGUGAGUAAUGCCUAGGAAUCUGCCUAGUAGUGGGGGAUAACUUGCCGAAAGGUAAGCUAAUACCGCAUACGUCCUAAGGGAGAAAGGAGGGGACCUUCGGGCCUUUCGCUAUUAGAUGAGCCUAGGUCGGAUUAGUUAGUUGGUGAGGUAAUGGCUCACCAAGACCGCGAUCCGUAACUGGUCUGAGAGGAUGAUCAGUCACACUGGAACUGAGACACGGUCCAGACUCCUACGGGAGGCAGCAGUGGGGAAUAUUGGACAAUGGGGGGAACCCUGAUCCAGCCAUGCCGCGUGUGUGAAGAAGGUCUUAGGAUUGUAAAGCACUUUAAGUCGGGAGGAAGAGCAGUUAACUAAUAUUUGACUGUUUUGACGUUACCGACAGAAUAAGCACCGGCUAACUUCGUGCCAGCCGCCGCGGUAA